GGAAUUGGGGCCCCUCCCACCUUCGUUUGCCUCAUCGGCUCCGUCUUCCGCCAAUUGUGACCCUCAGAACUCGCCGCCCCGACGGCCAGUUGCUGGCUAGAGGCAGCGACCAGGAGUGGCUUGGUUGAAUUAGGAGCUCCUCGGCCCCUACCCUAGGCCUCCUUUUUCCUGGAUACAUCCAUUCCACUUCUUGCAGUUUCCCAUGCACCUCAGCCAGCUCUCCCAGAGGUGCCCAUGACCUGCUGAGGAAGGCGCCCCCACACCCCCGCGAGGUGCAGCGGUGAGCCCAGGACGAUUGAAGCCACGUAGCAGCUUUUUCGCUCCGGCUGGCUAAGCGGCGGGUAGCUCCCCCGCAGUGUCGCACCCUCCGAAGCCGCCGCCCUACAAGCUGCCACUCGACAGCCUGCCCGCUAGCCAGGCAGCCCUUCAGUGGGUCGGCUCCACUCCCAGCUACGUGAGACUCAGGACCUCUAGCCGGCCUGCAGUCCUCAACUCUGACCGCCCUGUGCCACAGCAUGGCCCAGAGAGCGGAGAAGAAGUGUGGAACCACCCACUUGCUGGUCCAGUCGUCCGACGAAGCACUGACACUCGCCACAGGAAAGCUGGAAAUAAAAGGCCAGCCCUCUCUCUGUGCCUUUUUGGGCCCAUCCUCUGCUGCAACCAAGGAGACCCUCAGCAGCUGCCGUACUAACUCUCUCUCAGAGAUGAUGCCCAAUGAUUACCUGGCUCAAGUCAUCCCAGACCACCCUGAGGUAGAAGGCCUGACUGGGGAGGUAGGGCUGGAGGAGUUGGAGAAAUCUAAGCAGUAUGACCAGAGUGACUUGAGUAACAGUGAAGAGAGUGGUUGGAAGAAAACCAAAGUCAACAAGAUCUGGAAUUUUGUGAGCCGCAGAAAAGGGGCCUCCAGCCAGAAAAAGCGACCUCAGUCCAUGCUUUUACUGGGAGACACCUCCAGGCUGUCAGAAGUGAAACCUAAAUUCAGGUUCAUGGAUCGAAUGAAGUCAUUCAGGAGGCUGAAGUCUUCUAUUGGGGCCUUCAAGCACACUCCCCCUAGGAGCAGCAAGAUCCAGGAGGUGCAGGAUGCCCCAGGUAUCUAUCAGAUGAGGAAGGCUAAGGAGGCCCUGAAGCCCUUCCGCCAUUCCUACGCCGGCCCCAUCAAGGGCUUGGAGCCCUUCCUCACAGACGUACAGGGGCUUGGGCAAGCCUCCAAGAGGGUGAACGAGAAAGUACUGGCCUUUGAUGAGUUUAGCAUCCAUGUGGAGGACGACUCCUGGCAGAAGGUUCCUGAAGAACUUCAGGGUGAAAGGCAAGGCAGAACCUACCUGAAAAGCAUAUUCCCCAGGGGUUGUGAAGGCCUGAGUACAUGGGCCAAUGAUGCUGAAAUCCUGAAAUUUGAGACUGCCAUCGAGGACUCCACCUUGGAAGCAGACUUGCAAGGUAGUUACGAAGGGAACCCUGAAGACCAGUGCCGAGAAAAGGCUGCGCCAUUGGGCGUCAUCAUCAAAUUCUUUAAUAGUGUGGCUGAGGUGGCCCGCAAGUGGCAGGCAUUCACCCGUGAAGAGCCACAGUUGUCCCGCCACCACCAUGAGGCCUGCUUCAGGAGUAGCAGCAAUAGAUUCAUCCGGGAUGGCACUGUCUCCCUGUCCUCCUUACCACUCAACCGGUCCUGCCAGACCACUGAGGCCUCACUGUGGAAUAGUACCUUGGGAAGGCUUUGGAAACACCACCACCACCUGAAGCCCUCACAGAGCUUAUGCACUUUUGAGAUGAGCAUUGAGAGUGAAGAAAUGCUGGACCAGGACCUAGUGAGUCCCUGUAUUGCUGCCACCUCUUCCCCAACCUUGACCAUCUUAGAGUUCCAGGACAACCCAGUGCAGCAGAACAGCCAUGGGCACGGCAGUCAUGGCCAAAUCUACUGCAGCACCUUUACCAGGGAGCACUCCUCCUCUGAGGAGCUUGAGGAAGACACUGAGACUGUGGUCAGCUUCCUCAAGGAAGAUGACAAUGACAGGGAGUCCCCUGAGCUGCGUGUCAAUGCAAGGAGGUUUGCCACUGAGAUUGUCAUGGAAAAGCUAGAGGAGAAACUCAACGAGAUAAAGGAGCAAGAGGCUAGUAGGGGGCCUGAAGUGUCCAGCCCAGCCAGGCAGCCCCAGGAGCCUCAAUUGGAAAUGGGGGCAGCAGAGGCAGAGGGCAAAGCCGGCGAGCCCUACACUGGAGUCUGUGAUGCUCAGGUAAGGCUGUUUUUCUUUUUCUUUUUCUUUUUCUUUUUUUUAAUCACUAUUUGUAACAUUCAAGACACUAGAAGCCAGCUAAAUUCCAUGCCCUGCCCCACCCAAACCACCUCCAGCCAGAAAUGUCUCAAAAGGAAUGUUCCCAGUAGUCAGUUGCAAGAGACUUGAUUGAUCCUAAAACCCUGGGUGACUUUUGCCUCUUCUUGGAGCUGAGUUCCUAUAUUCACACCUCAGUUCAGCC
rnacentral:lncRNA from 13 species